rnacentral:rRNA from 1 species
GACGAACGCUGGCGGCGUGCUUAACACAUGCAAGUCGAACGGAAAGGCCUGCUUUCCCUUGUGGAUUGCGGGUACUCGAGUGGCGAACGGGUGAGUAACACGUGAGUGAUCUGCCCCCAACUUUGGUAUAAGCCUGGGAAACUGGGUCUAAUUCCCGAUAGGACUGCAGGGUGGUGCCUGUUGCGGAAAACGAUUUUCUAGUGGUUGGGGAUGAGCUCGCGGCCUAUCAGCUUGUUGGUGGGGUAAUGGCCUACCAAGGCGGCGACGGGUAGCCGGCCUGAGAGGGUGGACGGCGACAUUGGGACUGAGAUACGGCCCAGACUCCUACGGGAGGCAGCAGUGGGGAAUAUUGCACAAUGGGCGGAAGCCUGAUGCAGCGACGCCGCGUGGGGGAUGACGGACUUCGGGUUGUAAACUCCUUUCGACCGAGAGGAAGCCACCUGGUUGGAAGGGUGGUGACGGUAGUGGUAGAAGAAGCACCGGCUAACUACGUG